AUUGAACGCUGGCGGCAGGCCUAACACAUGCAAGUCGAACGAGUGGCGGACGGGUGCGUAAUGUCUGGGAAACUGCCUGAUGGAGGGGGAUAACUACUGGAAACGGUAGCUAAUACCGCAUACCAUCGGAUGUGCCCAGAUGGGAUUAGCUAGUAGGUGGGGUAAAGGCUCACCUAGGCGACGAUCCCUAGCUGGUCUGAGAGGAUGACCAGCCACACUGGAACGGCGGCGCGGGCCGGAUACCAACGGGAGGCAGUAGUGGCGAAGCUCACACCAAGGGCGACACCCAGCUGCAGCCAUGCCGUGUGUAUCAAGAAGGCCUUCGGGUUGUAAAGUACUUUCAGCGGGGAGGCGUGACCCGCAGAAGAAGUUCAGUCAAACCCCGUGCCAGCAGCCGCGGUAAUAC
rnacentral:rRNA from 1 species